rnacentral:rRNA from 1 species
GAUGAACGCUGGCGGCGGGCCUAACACAUGCAAGUCGAACGAACAGGCCGGGGUUUUGUGCGGUGGUCGAAGGACGAAGGGGGGAGUAACACGUGGGUAACGUAUACCUGAGUGAAGGAUAAGUUAAGGAAAAAGGGGCUAAUACCGGGUAGGAGCUACUGCUGCUUGGGGGGGGCGGGAAAGAUUCGGCGGUUGGGUGUGGAAUCGCGGCGUUUCGGCUUGGUGCUGUGGUAGUGGCUUACCAAGGCUUUGACGAGUAGGUGGUCUGAGAGGGUGAACAGCCACAUUGGGACUGAGACACGGCCCAGACUCCUACGGGAGGCAGCAGUGGGGAAUCUUGCGCAAUGGGCGAAAGCUUGACGGAGCAACGCCGCGUGAGUGAUGAAGGUCUUCGGAUCGUAAAACUCUGUUAUUAGGGAAGAACAAAUGUGUAAGUAACUAUGCACGUCUUGACGGUACCUAAUCAGAAAGCCACGGCUAACUACGUG